rnacentral:tRNA from 1 species
GGGAAGAAAGCAUAAGUAUGCAGUUAAUUUGAAAUUAAUAGAUGGUAGUUAAAAUCUACCUUUUCUCG